AGUUAUUUCCAGACAUAUCACUUGUCAAAUACAUGUGGAUAAAAGUAAUUUAUGGUGCAUGGAGAUUCCUCUACUUUUAGAGUCCUUAGAGUCACUGCAGCUUCUUCCUGGACAUUCUGUACCUUAAAGAGUGUCCUACGGCCUAUUGCUCCCUGUUGUCCUGAUGGAAAUCAUCUAGGUCAAAGCCUGUCUCUCUCCCCUGGCAUCUCUUUAGAGAGAAUAAGAACUGCUCAGUUCCUCGAAAGGAUGCUUUACCCUGUGUAUUCAAAGUGGAUGAACUCACCUUCAGCUUGAGGAGAUAAAGGAUAGGAAUUCAAAGAUUUCCAUAUCUCCACAGUUUUCUGAUUGUGCUUCUACAAUGCAGAUUGCACUCACUUUAAUAGACGGCACAAUGAAGACUAGAAAAACUCAUACAUAAUGGGAAACCUGGUGCCUGUUGAGCUGUGAAAAGAGCUGCCAUUAGGAACCCAAAAUAUUUCUGCCAGGUUCUUGUCACCCUGGAAAAACACUAGUGUUUAUAACCUCUCUGGCUACACUGACUGGCUUUGUCAUCAGAGGUUUUUGUAGCAUCUUUAAUGACCUGUUAGGAAGAAUCUUAUAAACAUUCUGUCAUAAUAAGUGUUAGACUGAAAAUCUGUUACCUUAACUUGUAUCUUCAAAAUAUUGGCAUAUUAAGUGGUUGGCAAUUGGCCAAUGUGAUGUGCUGUCUCAGUUUGAGACAAGUUUAGUGGGAAAUGCCCUGGAAGGGACAUCUUCUCCACAGAAGAUGGAUUUCAGCACUCCCUCCCCACCAAUAUGAAAGAAAUUUCUUGGAUGAAAGUGAAAAAAACUAUUUAUGUAACAAGCAGACUGCCGGCAGGGCAAAGAAAAAUAAUGAGUAUUGCUAGAUAAUAAACCUCCUUGAUGCGGAGAAAGCUGGUGGAUUUUAGAGUUCUGUCUGUAGCUGGCUUGGCCCCUCCGGAGGCCCAAGGCCUGGAUGCAGCGUCCCCAUGGGGUCCAAUGAGCUGGUUCUUGGAUCACAGCUAGGCCCAACAGUUCCAGAAGAAGAAGUUCCGGAGGAUUUCGGUAUGCAGUCCUGGGAAAAUUUCUUGCCUCAACUAGCAGGCUGGCUAUAAAGCAGGAAGGUGCUCCCUCAGCUCUGCAGCAGUGAGAACGCGGGGAAAUGUGUGUGAG